GGCAUUGUGGCAGGAAUCACAUUUUGGACCUUGUUACUGCUUAGCACAUCACAUACCAGUGCCCAAUUGAACUGGGAGAUCCAGCGGUACGAUGGGUGGUAUAACAAUCUGGCACAUCACAGAAGAGGCUCAGUCGGUUCCUCCUUUGUCCGCCUGCUGCCCGCUAAUUAUGCCGAUGGCGUCCUCCAGGCGGUGCAGGAACCACAGCUCCCGAACCC